rnacentral:rRNA from 1 species
GACCAUCUCCUAAGGCUAAAUACUCUCUAGUGACCGAUAGUGAACCAGUACCGUGAGGGAAAGGUGAAAAGCACCCCGGAAGGGGAGUGAAAUAGAACCUGAAACCGUGUGCUUACAAGUAGUCAGAGCCCGUUAAUGGGUGAUGGCGUGCCUUUUGUAGAAUGAACCGGCGAGUUACGAUUUGAUGCAAGGUUAAGCAGUAAAUGUGGAGCCGUAGCGAAAGCGAGUCUGAAUAGGGCGUUUAGUAUUUGGUCGUAGACCCGAAACCAGGUGAUCUACCCUUGGUCAGGUUGAAGUUCAGGUAACACUGAAUGGAGGACCGAACCGACUUACGUUGAAAAGUGAGCGGAUGA